ACUUUCGAGAGAUUUAAUGACAGAAUUAGCGCACGGCUCAACCCCUUUGAGCCUUUUCCCUGAGCCCGGAACUGGAUUUGUUCUGGGCUAUUUUUU
rnacentral:sRNA from 1 species